UUCGAUGCAACGCGAAGAACCUUACCUGGUCUUGACAUCCCGGAGACCCUUAGGAAACUAGGGGUGCUUCCAUCUGGAAGAAUCUGGAGACAGGUGCUGCAUGGCUGUCGUCAGCUCGUGUCGUGAGAUGUUGGGUUAAGUCCCGCAACGAGCGCAACCCUUGCCUUUAGUUGCCAGCAGUUCGGCUGGGCACUCUAAAGGGACUGCCGGUGUUAAACCGGAGGAAGGUGGGGAUGACGUCAAGUCCUCAUGGCCUUUAUGACCAGGGCUACACACGUACUACAAUGGCCGAUACAAAGGGCAGCGACACUGCGAGGUGAAGCCAAUCCCGUAAAAUCGGUCUCAGUCCGGAUUGGAGUCUGCAACUCGACUCCAUGAAGUUGGAAUCGCUAGUAAUCGUGGAUCAGCAUGCCACGGUGAAUACGUUCCCGGGCCUU
rnacentral:rRNA from 1 species